rnacentral:rRNA from 1 species
UGCCAGCCGCCGCGGUAAUACGGAGGGUGCAAGCGUUGUUCGGAAUUAUUGGGCGUAAAGAGCAUGUAGGCGGACUGUUAAGUCUGAUGUGAAAGCCCGGGGCUCAACCCCGGAAGUGCACUUGAAACUAUGAGACUUAAGUCCCGGAGAGGGUGGUGGAAUUCCCGGUGUAGAGGUGAAAUUCGUAGAUAUCGGGAGGAACAUCAGUGGCGAAGGCGACCACCUGGACGGAGACUGACGCUGAGGUGCGAAAGCGUGGGUAGCGAACAGGAUUAGAUA